rnacentral:rRNA from 1 species
GUCUGACAAAUUCGACCUCAAAUCAGGUAGGACUACCCGCUGAACUUAAGCAUAUCAAUAAGCGGAGGA